AUCCAGUUGACGAGUCCCAAAUAGGACGGAAUGCGCUUUAUCCUGGAU
rfam:Trichobilharzia regenti genome assembly, scaffold: TRE_scaffold0013535